GAUGGACGCUGGCGGCGUGCUUAACACAUGCAAGUCGAACGGAAAGGCUCCUGCUUGCAGGGGCACUCGAGUGGCGAACGGGUGAGUAACACGUGGGUGAUCUGCCCUGCACUUCGGGAUAAGCCUGGGAAACUGGGUCUAAUACCGGAUAGGACCAUCGUUUAGUGUCGGUGGUGGAAAGUUUUUUCGGUGUGGGAUGAGCUCGCGGCCUAUCAGCUUGUUGGUGGGGUAAUGGCCUACCAAGGCGUCGACGGGUAGCCGGCCUGAGAGGGUGUACGGCCACAUUGGGACUGAGAUACGGCCCAGACUCCUACGGGAGGCAGCAGUGGGGAAUAUUGCACAAUGGGCGCAAGCCUGAUGCAGCGACGCCGCGUGGGGGAUGACGGCCUUCGGGUUGUAAACUCCUUUCGCCAGGGACGAAGCGAAAGUGACGGUACCUGGAUAAGAAGCACCGGCUAACUACGUG
rnacentral:rRNA from 1 species